AGAAACUAACCAGGAUGGCCCUAGUAACGGCGAGUGAAGCGGUCACAGCUUAAUCCAUAAUCCUGCGCUCCCUGAGCGUUUGGAAUUGUAGUCUUGGCUUCUGAAUGGCACUGGAUGACUUGUAAUUCGAUGGAAAUCGAGGUCGUAGAGGGUGACAGCCCCGUGUACUCGUCGUUCCGGUGCUACUUUUCAGUUGUCUACCGAGUAGCGUUCCUUGGGAAUGGAGCGUGAAGUGGGAGGUGAUAUCCUUCUAAAGCUAAAUAUUGGCGAGAGACCGAUAGCGAACAAGUACCGUGAGGGAAAGAUGAAAAGCACUUUGGAGAGAGAGUUAAACAGUGUGCGAAAUCGUUGGAAGCAAGCGAAUCAGUGGGUAGAGCACGGUUCUGCGUUCUGAGCACUCGGCUUGGUGUGAGCUCUCUUCGGAGAGCACCACUAUGUCUUCCAGUGCUCGGUCGUGGGAUGAGGUUUUGGUGCUCGGCUUCGGCCAUCCUUCUGAUCCGACCCGUCUUGAAACACGGACCAAGGAGUCUAAUAUGUGUGCGAGUGUUUGGGUGUUAAACCCCAACGCGUAGGUAACCCAAAUCGCGUUAGUCGCUUCGGUGACGCAUCGCGGGUAGUGUGAUUUAUUCCCUAACAAGA
rnacentral:rRNA from 1 species